rnacentral:rRNA from 1 species
AAAGCGUGCGCAGGCGGUUCUAUAAGACAGAUGUGAAAUCCCCGGGCUCAACCUGGGAACUGCAUUUGUGACUGUAGAGCUGGAGUACGGCAGAGGGGGAUGGAAUUCCGCGUGUAGCAGUGAAAUGCGUAGAUAUGCGGAGGAACACCGAUGGCGAAGGCAAUCCCCUGGGCCUGUACUGACGCUCAUGCACGAAAGCGUGGGGAGCAAACAGGAUUAGAUACCCUUGU